CCUACGGGCGGCAGCAGUGAGGAAUAUUGGUCAAUGGGCGGGAGCCUGAACCAGCCAAGUCGCGUGAGGGAAGACGGUCCUAUGGAUUGUAAACCUCGUUAGGCGGGGAGCAAUGCCGGGCACGUGUGCGCGGAGGGAGAGUACCCGCAGAAUAAGCAUCGGCUAACUCCGUGCCAGCAGCCGCGGUAAUACGGAGGAUGCGAGCGUUAUCCGGAUUUAUUGGGUUUAAGGGGUGCGUAGGCGGAUUUUUAAGUCAGCGGUAAAAGGUCCGGGCUCAACCCGGGCCGGCCGUUGAAACUGGGGAUCUUGAGUGGGCGAGAAGUAUGCGGAAUGCGUGGUGUAGCGGUGAAAUGCAUAGAUAUCACGCAGAACUCCGAUUGCGAAGGCAGCAUACCGGCGCCCGACUGACGCUGAGGCACGAAAGCGUGGGGAUCGAACAGGAUUAGAUACCCGAGUAGUC
rnacentral:rRNA from 1 species